AACGAACGCUGGCGGCAUGGAUUAGGCAUGCAAGUUGAACGAACCACUUCGGUGGUGAGUAGCGAAAGGGUGAGGAACACGUGAGUAAUCUGCCUCUAAGUUGGGAAUAACAGUUGGAAACGACUGAUAAUACCGAAUGUGGCUCCUGAACGCAUGUUUGGGCGGCUAAAGAUUUAUCGCUUAGAGAUGAGCUCGCGUCCCAUUAGCUAGUUGGUGAGGUAACGGCCCACCAAGGCUACGAUGGGUAGCUGGUCUGAGAGGAUGGUCAGCCACACUGGGACUGAGACACUGCCCAGACUCCUACGGGAGGCUGCAGUCGAGAAUCUUGGGCAAUGCGCGAAAGCGUGACCCAGCAAUGCCGCGUGCAUGAUGAAGGCCUUCGGGUUGUAAAAUGCUGUCACCCGGGACGAAUAAAAUGACGGUACCGGGGGAGGAAGCCACGGCUAACUACGUGCCAGCCGCCGCAGUAACAC
rnacentral:rRNA from 1 species